GUUUGCCAAGUUGUUCCAGUUCUAGUUCUAAAAGGAUGUUCCUGUGACGUCACUGGUAAGUUGUACCGCCAGCGUGAUAACCUGUUGGAGCAGACUUCGGCUGAAUACGACGAUGCAGAGGCAGGACAAACUGUUUCAAGACAUUUGAAAAGCGACGCGUGGGAACAUAUGGCCACAGUUAACGGUCCUCAUAUCUAGAAGUUUUUGUGUACACAAACUCAGGAAGCAGGGAGGAUCAAGAAGCUGGAUUCAAGUGCCGUAGUGUGAAAUACUUGCUCAAAGGAGAAAAGCGGGUGUUUUCUAACAACUGUGCCCAUGCGUCCCUUUGGCCUACUGCUUCAAAGGUAGGCUACCGUGUACAAUCAAUGCCAGUGCCAGUGGCGUCUAACGCAAUCGGUUGAACGUGAAACUUCUUCUUCUUAUUUCAGUUGACAUUCAUACUUCUUGGUGGUUGCUCUCGGACAGAUCGUACGAAUCGCUAGAAGCAUCUUUUCCGCGUCAUUUGAAAGGAACAAAUUAUUGGACAUGGUCGUGAUUAUCCAGUUCUAUGAUGCACCUGCCAAUGGAAGUGAAAGACAAGCCAACCUUAGUAUUGGUUGUUUUUGCUGCUGAUCGGUUCUAAAUCGGAUAGUGGAAACCGCUCUUGUUGACACUCUACAUAGGCGCUGGAUUGGAUUUUUCUUCGCUCUGCUCAGAGUGCGUUACCUUGGUUUGUUGUGGCAAUCUAUCAGUCAAUUAACAGUCCCUUCAGGCAAAACACGUUCAGUCCUCCGUACACAUCUGGUUUCCGUAAGAAUUACGCCUCAAAUUCGAAGGAGACAAUGUUCUAUCUGCACCUAGCACCUCUACAAACCGUGACCGAUAAAGCUAGCCUUUGAUCCUCCGUCUAGGAUAAAAUACUGCGCCAAAGUUGAAGGUCGGUCGAAUCAUAAACUAACUAAGGAAUCGCCACUCGUUAUGAGAUUAUUAUUGGUUGGAACCUUGUUUUUCGCCGUUUGUUAUACAUUCCAUUUGCAGAUACAAAAUGGAGUGAAAUAUGCAAAAAAUCGCGUGAUAAUGCGGUCAAAAUAAAAUCCAGAUCGCACACGAUAACAAACUCAAAGGCACGAUGUUAGUUUGUUUCGAAACACGCUGAAAAUUCCAUUGAAAAUUUUCGCCAGGACCUAUUUGAUUGAUGUAGGAUAUGAAUCUCUUCGAAACUUGAUCUUGGAAGGGAGAAAAUGUCCACGAUGAUGUAUUGUUUAUGCUGCACCGAUCGAAACAGACCGCGUGAUUAUGUAAACGGUAACAAAUCGUGGGCAGAAUAAUGUGGACCAGGAUUAGAAACCCAUGGCUAAGCUGGCGCAGAAUACGAGCGUUGAAAAUUGUACGCUGUCUGGAUGGAUGCUGGAUUUUUUCUGGGGUAUGGUCUAAAACUAUGUAGAUAAUAAGAAAAGAAAAAAGGUAUGAAGCGUAAGAUAUUGAUAUUAUUAUGGUUCUAAAACACUACAUGUUAAUUGUUAUCUUUUUACGCUUGCCAUAAAACCAGGAAAAAUAAAAAAAUAAUAUUAUAUUUGUUAAAAACAAAAAAUGUUUUCAUUGCACCGUUGGAAAUCAACGGUGCGGAAAGAACGAUUGAAAAUGAACAUUACAGCGUUAAAAUGAACCUUACGAAAACGCGCUCAUGAAAUCAUGAAUCUCACGCACACACUCUCAAAAAACGGCUUCACAAGAUCUGCUGUGAAGCUUUUGUGAAGCCGCUUGUGAAGCCGUGAAUUUUACUCGAAAUUCACUCUCAGGCGAGCAGUUUGUCGAUA